AGUGGGGAAUAUUGGACAAUGGGCGCAAGCCUGAUCCAGCAAUGCCGCGUGAGUGAUGAAGGCCUUCGGGUUGUAAAGCUCUUUCGCACGCGACGAUGAUGACGGUAGCGUGAGAAGAAGCCCCGGCUAACUUCGUGCCAGCAGCCGCGGUAAUACGAAGGGGGCUAGCGUUGUUCGGAAUUACUGGGCGUAAAGGGCGCGUAGGCGGUGUGUCAAGUCAGGCGUGAAAGCCCCGGGCUCAACCUGGGAACAGCGCUUGAGACUGGCACGCUCGAGUUCGGGAGAGGAUGGUGGAAUUCCCAGUGUAGAGGUGAAAUUCGUAGAUAUUGGGAAGAACACCGAUGGCGAAGGCAGCCAUCUGGACCGACACUGACGCUGAGGCGCGAAAGCGUGGGGAGCAAA
rnacentral:rRNA from 1 species